UACGGAGGGGGCUAGCGUUGUUCGGAAUUAUUGGGCGUAAAGAGCUCGUAGGCGGUUUGUCGCGUCGAAUGUGAAAACCCGGGGCUCAACCCCGGGCCUGCAUUCGAUACGGGCAGACUAGAGUUCGGUAGGGGAGUCUGGAAUUCCUGGUGUAGCGGUGAAAUGCGCAGAUAUCAGGAGGAACACCGGUGGCGAAGGCGGGACUCUGGGCCGAUACUGACGCUGAGGAGCGAAAGCGUGGGGAGCAAACAGG
rnacentral:rRNA from 1 species